AGUGAACGCUGGCGGUAGGCCUAACACAUGCAAGUCGAACGGCAGCACAGUAAGAGCUUGCUCUUACGGGUGGCGAGUGGCGGACGGGUGAGGAAUACAUCGGAAUCUACUUUUUCGUGGGGGAUAACGUAGGGAAACUUACGCUAAUACCGCGUACGACCUACGGGUGAAAGCAGGGGAUCUUCGGACCUUGCGCGAUUGAAUGAGCCGAUGUCGGAUUAGCUAGUUGGCGGGGUAAAGGCCCACCAAGGCGACGAUCCGUAGCCGGUGUGAGAGGAUGGUCAGCCACACUGGAACUGAGACACGGUCCAGACUACUACGGGAGGCAGCAGUGGGGAAUAUUGGGCAAUGGGCGCAAGCCUGAUCCAGCCAUACCGCGUGGGUGAAGAAGGCCUUCGGGUUGUAAAGCCCUUUUGUUGGGAAAGAAAAGCAGCAGGUUAAUACCCCGCUGUUCUGACGGUAACCAAAGAAUAAGCACCGGCUAACUUCGUG
rnacentral:rRNA from 1 species